rnacentral:rRNA from 1 species
UACGAAGGGGGCUAGCGUUGCUCGGAAUCACUGGGCGUAAAGCGCACGUAGGCGGAUUGUUAAGUCAGGGGUGAAAUCCUGGAGCUCAACUCCAGAACUGCCUUUGAUACUGAAGAUCUUGAGUCCGGGAGAGGUGAGUGGAACUGCGAGUGUAGAGGUGAAAUUCGUAGAUAUUCGCAAGAACACCCGUGGCGAAGGCGGCUCUCUGGGACGGUACUGACGCUGAGACGCGAAAGCGUGGGGAGCGAACAGG